AGAGUUUGAUCCUGGCUCAGGAUGAACGCUAGCGGCAGGCUUAAUACAUGCAAGUCGAGGGGCAGCGCUGGGUAGCAAUACCUGCUGGCGACCGGCAAACGGGUGCGGAACACGUACGCAACCUUCCCAAAACUGGGGAAUAGCCCUCCGAAAGGAGGAUUAAUACCCCGUAACAUAACGAAGUGGCAUCACUUUGUUAUUAUAGUUCCGACGGUUUUGGAUGGGCGUGCGCCUGAUUAGGUAGUUGGCGGGGUAACGGCCCACCAAGCCUGCGAUCAGUAACUGGUGUGAGAGCACGACCAGUCACACGGGCACUGAGACACGGGCCCGACUCCUACGGGAGGCAGCAGUAAGGAAUAUUGGUCAAUGGACGCAAGUCUGAACCAGCCAUGCCGCGUGAAGGAUGAAGGUCCUCUGGAUUGUAAACUUCUUUUAUAUGGGACGAAAAAAGGGCAUUCUUGCUCACUUGACGGUACCAUAGGAAUAAGCACCGGCUAACUCCGUGCCAGCAGCCGCGGUAAUACGGAGGGUGCGAGCGUUAUCCGGAUUUACUGGGUUUAAAGGGUGCGUAGGUGGGCAGGUAAGUCAGUGGUGAAAUCUCCGGGCUUAACCCGGAAACUGCCAUUGAUACUAUCUGUCUUGAAUAUCCUGGAGGUGAGCGGAAUAUGUCAUGUAGCGGUGAAAUGCUUAGAUAUGACAUAGAACACCGAUUGCSAAGGCAGCUCACUACGGGGUUAUUGACACUGAGGCACGAAAGCGUGGGGAUCAAACAGGAUUAGAUACCCUGGUAGUCCACGCCCUAAACGAUGGAUACUCGACAUUUGCGAUAUACCGUAAGUGUCUGAGCGAAAGCAUUAAGUAUCCCACCUGGGAAGUACGAUCGCAAGAUUGAAACUCAAAGGAAUUGACGG
rnacentral:rRNA from 1 species